GAUUUCUGGUUUGAUGUACCUGUCCCGCUGCAGCAAUGCAUGUGAGUGACGGAGUAUGUCUGCCAUCCUUCUAGAGAACUCAAGCUAUCCUUUACUGGACCGGUUUGGGUCAUCUAGAUCUUUUACUUUGAAAAAAUUAGAGUGUUUCAAGCAGGCAUGUUUUGCUAUGAAUACAUUAGCAUGGAAUAAUAAUCUAGGACUUUCGGUUCUAUUUUGUUGGUGUUCUGGAGCUGAAGUAAUGAUUGAUAGGGAUAGUUGGGGGUGCUAGUAUUCAAUGGCCAGAGGUGAAAUUCUCGGAUUCCUUGAAGACUAACUUAUGCGAAAGCAUU
rnacentral:rRNA from 1 species